rnacentral:rRNA from 1 species
UACGUAGGGACCGAGCGUUGUCCGGAAUCAUUGGGCGUAAAGAGCGUGUAGGCGGCUGACUAAGUCCUGCGUGAAAUUUCGGGGCUCAACCCUGGAAUGCCGGUGGAAACUGCCAAGCUAGAGUCCGGAAGAGGCGAGUGGAAUUCCUGGUGUAGCGGUGAAAUGCGCAGAUAUCAGGAGGAACACCAAUGGCGAAGGCAGCUCGCUGGGACGGUACUGACGCUGAGACGCGAAAGCGUGGGGAGCAAACAGG